UGGCUGCACACUAUUAUUAGGGGCAGUCCUGUAUAAUUUUCACAAUUAUAGUAUAUGUCAUUUCAUACUUGUGGACUGCCAACAAGAGAGCACUGUCCACCCAGAAGAAAAAUACUGCCUGUAAUCACUUUCAAGGGCUGAGAGAGGCAAAUGUUUACUCACAGGCACAGCUUUUCUGACCGUGAAUAGUCCCCGUGCUUUCAAAGGGAUUAAGCCUGCUAAUCAAUGAAAGCAGGAGUCCAAGGACAAGCAACAAGAUUCAUUGAUGCCCUUCCUUGACAUUUCAGGACCAGAACCACUAACAGAUACUGUAGAGAAGCUCACUGUGCACAUUUUUAAUCCACAUCAUAUACAUAAGCGUAGUAUGUUCAUAAACCGAGGGAGUAGGAUAUUGUUGACCUGAAUGACACUGAAAGCAUUUGCACUCACAAAAAAAUGUAAUGAUCUCCCUUCUAAUAAAGCAACACAUGAAUAAAGCAACAGCAUAAACUAGGGCUGAAAAUCAUAAAAUGGAUUCAUAUGGAUUCCUCCAUAAUAUGGAGGAUCAUAAAAUGCUAGAAUAUCCUGAAUUAAAAGGGUCCCACACAAGGAUCAUCCAGUCUAACUCAUGGCCCUUCACAGCACUAUCCUCAAGAGUUACACCAUGUGCCUGAGAGUGUUGUCCAGAAGCUUGCUGAACUCUGUCAUGUUUGGUGAUGUCACCACUGCCCUGGAGAGCCUGUUUAAUUGCCCAACCACCCUCUGAAUGAUGAACUUUUUUCUAAUAUCCAGCCUAGAUCUCUCCUGAAACAACUUCAGGCCCUGUCACUGUUAACACAGAGAAGAGAUCAAUGUCUGCCUGUCCUCUUCCCCUCAUGAGGCAGCUGUAACUGCAAUGAGGUCUCCCCUCAGUCUUCUCUUCUCCAGGCUGAACAAACCAAGUGAACUCAGCAACUCCUUGUGACUUCCCCUCAAGGCCCUUCACCAUCUUUGUUGCCCACCUUUGGACAUUUUCUAAUAGUUUAAUGUCUUCCUUUUAUUGUGGCACCCAAAACUACCCCCAGGACUUGAGCUGAGACCGCCCCAGUACACCCUUGCUUGGCUGGUCAUGCUGUGCCUGAUGCCCCCAGGACAGGGCUGGCCCUCCUGGCUGCCAGGGCACUGCUGACUCUUGUUCAGCUUUCUGUUGAUCAGGAUCCCAAGGGCCCUUUCCAUGGUGCUGCUCUCCAGCCUCUCAUCCCCCAGGCUGGCUGUAUAUCCAGAAUUGCCCCACCCCAGGUGCAGAAUCCAGAACUUUUCCUUAUUCCAUUCAUAUAGUUGGUGAUUGCUCAGUCCUCUCAUUUGUUGAGGUCUCUCUGCAGGCCUCUGCCCUUGAGGGAGUCAACAGUUCUUCCCAAUUUAGCAUCAUCUGCAAACUUACAUAGUAUCCUAUGGUCUUUAUAGCAAAAAUGACUUAAUUUUAUUUAAGAUUAUUUGGGGCCAUAUUGAAAUAGUAAGGCAUCUCCCUUCUGACCAAGACUGUCACAAGCAGCAGCAUACAAUAGAAGGCUAGACUAGGAGCCAGCAGGCUGAGUUCAAAUCCUUCUCUUCUUGAUCUGCUCAGCAGAAUGAAGAGGACGUCUCCUGGGGACUGGAGCUGUGCAUAUGCUGCAGACAACUUUCCUUUGGCUGAAGACUACAGAGAGCUAGACUGGCGUUAACAGCUGCCUGAAGCACAGGUUACAGUAAAGUAUAUCGUGUUCAUAUCAUCGUUACAUACCUUGGAUUCCACUGUAAGCCUGAAGCCUGGGAGUGAGGAGAACUCUUUGGACCAUAAAUACAUUAGCUCGGCGCAAUGAGCUAUGUGAAUUUGUCCUUCAGUUAAGGGAAAAGGAGAAAGGACUUUCAUUCCACAGUGGUAUUCUUGAGACUGCUAUAGUGCAAAUCAAGACAGGAUUUUUUCUCUUGUCCCAGAAAACUUGGAGACAUUUCUGUCUGUAACAGAUACUACUGAUAUUCUCAAUACAUAUAUAUAUCUGAGGCAAGGCUAAGUGUAAAUCUUCAUUCACAAUCAAACUGAAAUAAUAAUUAAUGAGUAUGCUUAUAGCUGUGCCUGCAAUAAUAGUUCUUUAUUAUUCAAUGUGCAUUUUGUAGAGUAUUGGCAAUUUUCUUAAGGGAGAAUAGAAGAAAAAUUGUAGAAACAAGUAAGAGAUAAUUAUUAGAAACCCAGGGAAAAGAGAACUUUGGCUUUUAUGAUGCUUGGAUACUGUAGAGAGAAAAUGGACCAAAGGCCCAGAGAAUCAAGGGUGAGGAUUAAAAAAGGCAUGAUGCUUUUAUGAGGGAAGGACUUGGCAGCAAAAGAAAUGGUUCACCUUCCCUAAUACUGAAUUUUUCAUAUGGCCAAAAUGAGCAUAAGAGGUAAAAAUAAAGCCAGAGGUAGAAAUUCUAGCUGAGAAUGGAUCCAAGAGAUUCUUCAUUAUUGUUGUUGUUGUUUUU